rnacentral:rRNA from 1 species
UACGGGGGGAGCAAGCGUUGUUCGGAUUUACUGGGCGUAAAGGGCGCGUAGGCGGCCACCGCAAGUCAGUUGUGAAAUCUCUGGGCUUAACCCAGAAAGGUCAACUGAUACUGCGGGGCUAGAGUGCAGAAGGGGCAACUGGAAUUCUCGGUGUAGCGGUGAAAUGCGUAGAUAUCGAGAGGAACACCAAUUGCGAAGGCAGCUCGCUAAACUGUAACUGACGCUGAGGCACGAAAGCGUGGGGAUCAAACAGG